UUCAGUUUACUUGUAUUUUACAUUUUUGGGGAUAAUAACCAGGCUUGUGGCUGAGACUUCCUCCAUUCUUGGAAGAAUGAAGAUACUUUCUGUUCAAGGCUACCAGUAGAAGACAUGGCUUGGGAGAAGCUGAAGUCUCCCAGUUGUGCUUUGGUGAUGACUUGAUGCAAGUGAAGGCCUGCCCCUUCUUGCCAUAGUCCAGCCACAGCAAGCCUGCAACUCAUUGGCAAAGAAGCAUGCUCCUCCUCCUCGUUUGGAGCUGGUGCAC
rnacentral:lncRNA from 1 species